rnacentral:rRNA from 1 species
AACGAACGCUGGCGGCAGGCUUAACACAUGCAAGUCGAGCGCCCCGCAAGGGGAGCGGCAGACGGGUGAGUAACACGUGGGGAUCUGCCUAGUGGUACGGAACAACUCAGGGAAACUUGAGCUAAUACCGUAUAAGUCCUUCGGGAGAAGAUUAUCGCCAUUAGAUGAACCCGCGUCUGAUUAGCUAGUUGGUGAGGUAA